rnacentral:rRNA from 1 species
CCUACGGGGGGCUGCAGUGAGGAAUUUUGCGCAAUGGCCGCAAGGCUGACGCAGCAACGCCGCGUGGGUGAUGAAGGCCUUCGGGUCGUAAAGCCCUGUCAGGUGGGAAGAACGAUUGGGGGUCGAAUAGGCCUUUGAUGUGACGGUACCACCAGAGGAAGCACCGGCUAACUCCGUGCCAGCAGCCGCGGUAAUACGGAGGGUGCGAGCGUUAUUCGGAAUUACUGGGCGUAAAGCGCGUGUAGGCGGCCUGGCAAGUCUGAUGUGAAAGCCCCGGGCUUAACCUGGGAAGUGCAUUGGAAACUGUCGGGCUUGAGUACUGGAGAGGAUGGGGGAAUUCCCGGUGUAGAGGUGAAAUUCGUAGAGAUCGGGAGGAAUAUCAGUGGCGAAGGCGCCCAUCUGGACGGUAACUGACGCUGAGACGCGAAAGCGUGGGGAGCAAACAGGAUUAGAUACCCUAGUAGUC